UAUGCAGCCAUUUUGCAUCUUAGUGGUGUAGUUCGUCAGUGACAAUGUAAAAAGUGUUUUUGUUGCUGCGGAGUGUAUUUUCUUGUUUUAAGUAGUUUUGUGAUUGCUGUCAUAUUUAUUGAGUGCCAACUUGUACGAUGCCUUUUAUUAUUAUGCCCAUGUGUAAUAAUUACUAUGGGCGCCGUUGUAGAAAGUACCUUGUUCCGUCAUUUGUCAAUAGCCUUCCUUCAGACAUAGAAAAUAGCUGUCUUACCAAAGCAUCAUUCAAAAACAAAUUGUUUAAAUACCUUCUGGAUAUUUACAAGCCUCCUAAAAAUGCUCGCAAACGAAAAAAAAAACACAAAAAUGGAAUUGCAAAAUGCCAUAGAUGAAAUUAAGGCGGCCCUUCUAUUCGACAAACUUAAAAUAAAUAUGGCAUAGAUAGAACUACUAUAUAAAUUAGAUGAAGAUAAAAUUAAUAAAUUUGAAGAAAAAAAUAGUCAAUAUAAAGCAUCACAGGUGUUUACAACGGCCGAGGAAAAGCUUCUUGUCAAUUAUUUGUUGACAUGCAGUAAAAUGCAUUAUGGUUUGACAAGAAAACAAUCAAUGCAGUUGGUUUUUGAAUAUGCGACAGUGAAUUCAAAGAAGUUUCCUGAGAGCUGGACGAAGAACAACUCCGCUGGGAAAGAUUGGUUUCGAGGCUUUCUUUCCCGAAAUCCAGAAAUAAGUUUAAGAACCCCCGAAGCCACCAGCUUGUCUCGGUCAACCAGCUUUAAUAAAAAAAAAUGUGGAAGAUUUUUUCACAAAUUUUAGGACAGUUCUUGAUAGAUAUAAGUUGAGGCUCAUAAGGCAAGAUAUUAAAACUAUGAUUGAAGCCGAAAA
rnacentral:misc_RNA from 1 species